rnacentral:rRNA from 1 species
GACGAACGCUGGCGGCGUGCUUAACACAUGCAAGUCGAACGGAGAGGCCCUGCUUUUGUGGGGUGUCCGAGUGGCGAACGGGUGUGUCACACGUGAGACAUCUGCCUUUGACUUUGGGAUAACUUCAGGACACUGGGUCAAAUAUCGGAUGGGAGCCCACGCCGCAUGGUGGGGGUUGGAAUGUUUCGGCGGUUGGGGAUGGCUUAGCGGCUUAUCAGCUUGUUGGUGGGGUAGUGGCUUACCAAGGCGUUGACGGGUAGCCGGCCUGAGAGGGUGACCGGCCACACUGGGACUGAGAUACGGCCCAGACUCCUACGGGAGGCAGCAGUGGGGAAUAUUGCACAAUGGGCGGAAGCCUGAUGCAGCAACGCCGCGUGCGGGAUGACGGCCUUCGGGUUGUAAACCGCUUUUGCCAGGGACGAAGCGUGAGUGACGGUAAUGGGAAAAGAAGCACCGGCUAACUACGUG